CAGAGCCCGGCUAGCUUCUGCAUCCAGUAGCUAGCGCACCAUCCAUCAUCAGCAGGCUAGCUAGCUAGGAGAUCGAGAAGAGAUCAUCCGAUCGUCGAUGGCGAAGCAGCAGCAGAAGGCCCUGCCCCUUUGCACGGUGCUCCUGGUGGCCUUGCUCGUCGUCUCGGCCAUGCACGCCAUCCCUGCAGAGGCAGGGAGAGCCUUGGCAGGAGGGCAUAUAGCCUACGACCCGCUGAAUCCAGGCAGGACGCCUUCUGCAGGUCCAGGCCAACCGUACACCCGGCCAUGCCGAUCUAUCUACCAGUGCCCACCUGCAACCGCGACUGCAACGCCUUGAGCCUUGACAGGCCGGACGGCAUGCAUGCAACACGGUGAACAGGAGGAGUCAGUACUCUGCUUAUUCUCAAGGAAUUAUAUACUACAUAUUAAUGGUCUCAGUUGUGGCACAGAUCAAUAGAAUAUUAAGAACGAAUAAUACCAAGCUAUUAGUAGUAGUACUUGGUUAACGAGGUGAAGUAGUAAAAGCCGAGUUGAAUGGUCCGCAUGGCCAUGGCCUCGUUUGUUUGUGUACUCGUGCAUGUAAGUGUGCUUAAGUCAUGAGAUGUUCAGUUUGCCAUCGAGGCAAGUAUGUUGGACCUGUCUAAUAGACGAUCUCAUGUAAUAAUUGAAUAUAAUUUUGAUAUGACUGAAUAAACAACCUCUACGAUAGAUUGUUGUUUU